rnacentral:rRNA from 1 species
AAGAGUACGUGAAACUGCUUAGAGGUUAAGCCCGAUGAACCUGAAUAUCCAUUAUGGAAAAUUCAUCACUAAUAAUAUGGUAUUUAUAAUAUUAUAGAAAUAGUGUGCAAUUUUUCCAUAUAAGGACAUUGUAAUCUGUUAAUGUAAUAAAUAUUUAUCAUAAGAUCCAUUACUUAAGUUUAUUCAAAUUAGUUAUUUUCGAAUUUCUAACAUAGAAUAAAUGUUUUGGAUUUGAUAAAUCAUUGACAGAUAUAAUUAUAUAAUGUGCUUAAAUUUUUCGGAAUUUUACAAUGGUAGAUAGAUCUAUUGAUUUGUUUAUUUAAUUGUAUGCGCUAUUAUGAUUAACAAUGCGAUAGAUUCAGGAUACCUUCGGGACCCGUCUUGAAACACGGACCAAGGAGUCUAACAUAUAUGCAAGUCAUUGGGUAAAAAAACCCAAUGGCAUAAUUAACUUAACUUUUAAUAAUGGGAUUAAUUUAUAUUUUGUUAUGAAAUAUUAAUUCAAUCCCGGGGCGUUCUAUAUAGUUAUGUAUAAUAAUAUUUAUAUUAUUUAUGCCUCUAACUAGAGCGUACCUUGAGCAUAUAUGCUGUGACCCGA